CCCGAGGCCACGCCUCCGUCCCCGGCGGGAGGCGGCCGGCCCCUAGUGGCAGCCGGGCAGAGUCUCUUAGGAAGUGCUGGCCGCCGGAAACCCGCUGCCGGGAGGUAGGUGCCAGUCGCGUCCCUCCAGGGCGCAGGGGCCAGGCGGGUGCCGGGCCGCGACAGCACAGUCCCGCUGAAGGGGGCUCAGGGUUCCUGUCUCUCAGGACCCCAGGUUCCCCCGCGCGGGACUCGGGCUGCAGGGGGCCGGGUCAGCGGGGGGCCUGUGCUCCCAGGUGGACUCCCCGAGGCCCCCCGGGGGCGCUGCCCGGAUCUGGGAAUUCCUCCCGGCCAACCGCAGAGGCGGCUGCUGUCCUGGGCACCCCGCCCCAGAGGCCCAGGCUGCGGGAGGCGGAGGCGCUGGGUGAGGGCUGGGGCCAGGUGAGGAGCGCGGGACGGCCGCGGGACGUCCACUCCGUCCCCUAUUCGCCACAAGGCUAUGCGUUGACUGUCCCCUACCGUCACGCAGGGCACACGCCCUGGGACCAGGAGCCGCCCUGGACUCUUCGGGGCCAUUCACCUGGCAACCUGCUGCGGUGGACCAGUCACCAGUCACACACGUCCUCUCCUUCCCAGGUGGCCCCUUGGCUGUGAAGACAGGCAAGAUCAGAGGGGCAGGUGCUGGCCUCGGGGGACCCCCAGGUGUGUGGCCAGGGACACAGAGACUGUGGGGAGGGGGGCACAACCCUCCGGCCUCCCGGUCUGUACCCCAGUCUUGUUCAGUGACCGGGAGGAGCGAGCUCAGGGAUGCACCUGUGUCAGGUGACGCCUAGGUUCUGGGCAGGUGGGAGAGUCCCCAGUGUCAGGACCUGCUGUGGUGGGUCACUGUCACCUGGUGUGAAGGUCUGGGGAAACCACAGUCCCCAUUAUUGCCAGGUGAGAAGGGUCUGGGGACAAGACAGUCCCCAUUGUCACCUGGUAUGUAGGUCUGGGGACAAGACAGUCCGCAUUGUCAUCUGGUGUGAAGGUCUGGGGACAGGACAAUCCCCACUGUCACCUGAUGUGAAUGUCUGGGGACAAGACAGUCCCCAUUGUCACCUGGUGUGAAGGGUCUGAAGACAAGACAGUCCCCACUGUCACCUAGUGUGAUGGUCUGGGGAUAAGACAGUCCCCAUUGUCACCUGGUGUAAAGGGGCUGUGGACAGGACAGUCCCCAUUGUGGUCUGGUGUGAGGGUCUGGGGACAGGACAGUCCCCUGUGUUGCCUGGUGUGAGGGUCUGAGGACAGGACAGUCCCCACUGUCGCCUGGUGUGGUGGUCUGGGGACAGGACAGUCCCCAUUGUCAUUUGGUGUGAGAGUCUGGGGAUAGGACAGUCCCCAUUGUUACCUGGUGUGAGGGUCUGGGGACAGGACAGUCCCCUGUGUUGCCUCCUCUGAUGGUCUGGGGACAAGCCAGUCCCCAGUGUUAGAACCUGCUGUGAUGGAGGGCCCUGGGGUGUGGGGACACUUUUCAGUGGCAGGAUAAGUUUCAGGUAUCUGGGGAUUUGGGGACUGUGGACACCUUUGCAUACACCCACCACCCAUCCACUCUGACUGUCCAUCCACCCACUCACACCCGUCUACUCAUCUGUCCAUCCUUCUACCAUCCAUUUACUCAUCCAUCUAUGCACCCACCCACCCAUCCACCCAUCUAUCUAUGCAUCUACCCUCUACCCACCUACUCACCCACCCAUCCAUCCACUAUCUAUCCACCCCCUUCCACCCAAUCUCUACCCAUCCACCCAUCCAUUCACCCACCCAUCCCCUAUCCACCCACCCAUCCACCCACCCAUCCACCUACCCUCGUCCCAUCCACUCAUUCUUAUGUCAUUCUUCUGUCACAGGUUGUAGGACUGAGAUCAAAGUCUGGAGGACCCCCAUAGCCCUUAACACCGACUUGGUUACAGUCUCGCUGAUGAUUCUGGUGGCCUGAGUUCCACCGAGGGGCAGGUGACAGCCUGUGGGCAGGCAGGGGUGUGCUGGUAGGUGGUCAGGAACCAGCUGUAUAGAAGGAAAGGCCCAUGUGUCCAUGUGUUGUCCACCAUGGGUGGGUGAGCUGGUGGGGGACACACACAUAGGUGGUCUACAGUGGGUGAGCUGGUGGGGGAGGUGCAUAGGUGGUCCACAGUGGGUGAGCUGGUGGGGGGAGGUGCACAUAGGUGGUCCACAGUGGGUGAGCUGGUGGUGGGGGAGAGAUGCGUGUGUAUGAGGUCUACCGCACAGAGCUGGUGGGAGGAAAUGCGCAUGCGUGGUCUACGGCCCGAGCUGGGGGGCAGAUGGGAGCUGGGGGGCAGAUGGCACCGCGCCCUUUACUGGGGUCCUGUGCGAUAAAGUAACCACACGCCCCAGUCUUUAGAGUAAGGUGCCCCAGAACUAAGCGGGUGGAUCUGGGUCUGGAUGUCGCAGACCCAUGUGAGGGAUUUGUAGCACACGAUCAACCAAAACCAGCGACAGGGCUGGGGGUGUAGCCCAGUUGGGGAGCCAUUGCCUGGCUCUUGGACCCCACGGUGCCUGAGAGCAGGGGACAGGGCAGGCGCCACCAGGCACCAGGGCUCAGGAGUGCAGGGUGGCUUGCAUACGCCGUCUUCUCCCUGUGUCUUCUCGGGGUCUCUCUCUGUGUGCGUCUAUGUUCUCAUCUCGUUUUCUUAUGAAGACACCAGUCCUGUGGGUCAGGGCCACCCUGGGGAGCUCACUGCACCUCCAUCACCUUUGCAAAGACUUGUCUCCACACACGGCACAUGCCAAGGUCCUGGGGCCAGGGCCGUAGCAGAGGAAUCUUAGGGAGACUGGGCUUAGCCCAUGACCAUGACCCUCCCUCCCUCCCUCCCUCCCUCUCCCCACAGCCCACCACACCAUCCCUCUCCUCCCAGGGAAAGUCUAUUGAUUGCAUUUUCCCCGGAGCCAGGACCCCUGUGUAACUAGCAGUUUAACAACAACAACAACAACAACAACAACAAAACCCUUUUCCUUUCUCAGGCUGCACGGUUGGCUUCCAAUGGGUGGGCAGGUGAGCGCUUCUGGAAGCUUCCGGAGCCUGCCCUGCGCAAAUGCCAAUGCGGACUGGAUGUCGGCGCUGUGUCCCCGGCUCUGGGAUGUGCCCCUGCACCACCUGUCCAUCCCAGGUGAGGCCGCUCAGGUGGGCGUCCCCAUGGUGGGUGGGUCCUGGUGGGGAACCGGCCGGGCCUGGUGCACCUGUGUGCAUGCGCGCGCGCACACAUGCACACACACACGCACACACACACACAGCUCGGAAGGUGGCAUAGGAGGGUGGGCGGUGGUUCAGGCGACGCCGGUUAGACAUGACUGAGGCAGCGUGGUUGCUGAUGGUUGUGAACGUGCCAUCCGUGUCACUCAGCAGAAAACGAAGUGUAAGAUGGUUUCCAUCAGCAGAUCUGCAGGGGACAGGCGCCAAGGAUGGGGAAACGGGCGCCCUCUGCCUGCGGGGAGGCUGCACCGCUAAAGUGGGGGUUGACAGCGGAUCCCUCUGUCCAAGUGCGCGCAUCUAAGCAGGAGACCCUUUGCACCGCUAGGAGAAAACCUAGGUCGGCGCUCGAUGGAGACCAGCAGGGCUCCUCGGGGGUCUGCAAAAGCCAGGACAUAAAGCCAAGAAUCGAUAGACGACAGACGGGAUGGCGCCCUGUUAAAAGCCUCUGCACAGCAAAGGCAGGGGUGUGAAGAGAGAGUCCUGCUGGCUUCUCGCACAGGUGGAAGCCAGGGGGGAAACAAAAAGCAAAACCCAAGGACAUUGUGACGGCAGAAGGCGCCGCAGCCACGCCUGACAUCCCAGCGACUCGGAGGCUGAGACAGGAGGAUGCACGUCAGAGGCCAGCCUCAGCAACUCAGCGAGACCCCGUCUCGAGAUAGAAACUAGACAGGGCUGGGGUGCGGCUCAGUAGUGGAGAGCCCUGGGUUCGGUCCCAGCGCCACAUGCUCACACGACAUGCAGAAGGGCAGGCAGCAGUGGAGGAGGGCCGGGGGAAGGAGGGAGGCCCUGCGGGUGGGAGUCACUGGAUUGUGUUAAGGCACCUGCCAACGUGCCACAGCGGAACCCCGUUCUGCACGACUAACGUGCGCCACAGCUUAAAAAAGAGCUCCCAACGGAAAACCCCGUGCUCGAUAGAGGAUCCGCAUCUGGAUCAACCGAGGAGGCUCAGGUGGCAGGCUGGAGAGACGGCCCGUCCUAGGGAUGACCAGAGAAAGGGCGGCUGUCACGUUGGCAGAGCCGUCCCGUUGUUGGUGUAAGAGAUGCGUAAAGACAUAACGCCACACGAUAAUGUGCGUCGAUGACGCACAGGGAUGGUCCUCCCAUGACGCACAGGAACUCUUUUCCUAUGACGCACAGGGACGGUCCUUCCAUGAUACACAGGACAAUCCUCCCAUGACGCACAGGAACUCUUUUCCUAUGACGCACAGGGACGGUCCUCCCAUGACGCACAGGAACUCUUUUCCUAUGACGCACAGGGACGGUCCUCCUAUGACGCACAGGAACUCUUCCUAUGACGCACAGGGACGGUCCUCCCAUGACGCACAGGAACUCUUCCUAUGACGCACAGGGAGGGUCCUCCCAUGACGCACAGGAACUCUUCCUAUGACGCACAGGGACGGUCCUCCCAUGACGCACAGGAACUCUUUUCCUAUGACGCACAGGGACGGUCCUCCCAUGACGCACAGGAACUCUUCCUAUGACGCACAGGGACGGUCCUCCCAUGACGCACAGGAACUCUCCUCCCAUGACGCCCAGGGACAGACCUCUCAUCUGCACUCUCGUGUUUCUGCAGUCAACACGUACUCACGUCCUGGGGCUGAUGUAACAAGUCACCACAAACCAGGGCUUAGAAUCAUGGGCGUCGUGACCCCCAGCCCUGGAGGGCAGGGGCUGAGACGGGGUCUCCACGCAGGGCCCCUGCCCAGGCUGCAGGUGGGCGUGUGUGGGGCGCUGUCCACCCGCUGGCUGUGAGGGCAGCUGGGGGGCUGCAUCUGGGGGACUGAUGGCCGUCCCUGUGUUUCCUCCAGGGAGCCACGACACCAUGACCUACUGUCUGAAUAAGAAGUCCCCCGUGUCCCACAGCGAGUCCCGCUUGCUGCAGCUGCUGAGCAAGGUGGUGCCAUGUGUGACGCGUCCCGUGGUGCUGAGGUGGUCUGUCACCCAGGUAAGGGCCACUUGGGGCCGGGAGGUGGACGGCAGGGCCAUCGCUCCGCACAAAGCAGCAGGUGCCCCUGGUGGGCGCUCUUGCCUCAUGCCGGAGAUGGGGGGAGAGCAAGACUCUGAGGCCGCCCCAGGUGGUGGAGAGGCAGGGCUUGGUCACCGGGCAGCAUCACACCCGAGGCCGCUGGUCACUGGCUGACAGGGGCCACAGGCAGGGGGUGCCUGGGGCUGGCCAAGGCGACAGGCCGUUCCUCCUGCGGCCUAGAUAGCCAGCAGCACCCUUCCCGAGGCCCCUCUCCCCACUCCGGAGGGCGCCCUGCUCCUCCCUGGCGCUUGUUCAGCUGCGGGUCAACUCCCAGAGGCAGAAGGGACCCACGCUGCAGGUUCCUAAGAGAAGGGCUCAGGAGAAAUCUUCCCUGCUGAGGGAUGGGGGUCUCUUCCCUGCUCCAGGGCAGGUGUGUGUGGGGGGUCUCUCCUUGCUGCAGGAGGAGGGGGGUCUCUUCCCUGCCCCAGGGCCGAGGCUGUCUCCUCUGGCCCCAUCAGAGAGAAGGGCAUCUCUGCCUUCACCCCAGGUGCCCCCCUCCUGCACCCAGCCCUCUGCCCAGGUGGGGCAGGUGCCCUAGACCCACCAGGGCAUUUGAUUUGAUGCUGUGCAGAGGGGGCCUCCUGGAGGCUCAGCUGGCCUCAGCCACCCCUGGAGAGGCCGGGGAAAGGGGCGCCCCUCCAUUCUGGGGAGGAAAGAAGGCUGGCAGGAAGCGGGGCCCACCCCGGGGAGGAGAUGGACCACUCUUCCUCCUCUGCCUCCUGACCGAAGACUGUUGGUGACAAAAGGUUUGAGUGUCAGGGGUUUCCCAGGGACACAAGACUGCCCCCAACGUCCAGCUCUGUCCUGUUGAAUGUACUGUUUCUGCGUCUUAGUGACCACGGGGGCAGCAGGAGCUGUGGGGACCUGCCGGGUGGGGGAUGAGCACCUGUCAGGGGUCAGAGCCUGCAGGGGGCGUCUCCUCAUCCUGCCGGGGUCUGCAGACAGUGACCCUGCAGGGGGGUGUCCCCCAUCCUGCCAGGGGUCUGCAGACAGUGACCCUGCAGGGGGUGUCCCCCAUCCUGCCAGGGGUCUGCAGACAGUGACCCUGCAGGGGGUGUCCCCCAUCCUGCCAGGGGUCUGCAGACAGUGACCCUGCAGGGGAGUGUCCCCCAUCCUGCCAGGGGUCUGCAGACAGUGACCCUGCAGGGGGGUGUCCCCCAUCCUGCCAGGGGUCUGCAGACAGUGACCCUGCAGGGGGUGUCCCCCAUCCUGCCAGGGGUCUGCAGACAGUGACCCUGCAUGGGGGCGUCCCCCAUCCUGCCAGGGGUCUGCAGACAGUGACCCUGCAGGGGGGUGUCCCCCAUCCUGCCAGGGGUCUGCAGACAGUGGCCCUGCAGGGGGGCGUCCCCCCACACCUGUCCUCUGGUGGUCGUCCUCUCCUGCCCCGGGGCUGUCCACUCCCACUGCAUGGCCCUCCCACUCUGUCUGGUGUCCUGCUGAGCACCCUGCAUCCUGACUGGGGAUGCCAAGGGCUGGGUGGAUCCAGGGCUGUGGGGCAUGCGCCCCUAGUGGGACCCCUUCCCAGAGACUGUCGGGACAAGGGUGACCGUGACUGCCCGAUGUCCCAGAGACCAGCAUUAGGGCUGGGGUGGACUGAAGCCCAGGACGGCAGCGGGCCCUGGCUGUGCAGCUGAGGCUGCUCACCCCAGAGCAGGUCUCCCCAGGGUGGGGCCCGGGCAGCUCUGGCCCCGCGUGCGGCUGGCGGUUCAGCAGACACCCAGCGGGGGCCCCAGACAGUGCUGCACAGUGCGCAACCUCAGCGCCUCCUGAGCCCCAGGGAAGGGCGAUUCACCCAGGAGGGAGCGGCAGAGAUGACGGGGCGUCCCUCGGCAGGCGCUGGACGUCACGCAGCAGCUGGACGCCGGGGUGCGGUACCUGGACCUGCGCAUCGCGCACAUGCUGGAGGGCUCGGAGAAGAACCUGCACUUCGUACACAUGGUGUACACGACGGCGCUGGUGGAGGUACACAGGGGCCUGGUGGGGCAGGAGGUCGGCUGCCAGAGGCGGGGCAGCCACGUGCAGGUCCAGGCUGGUGGUCAGACCUUGGGGAUAGCCUGAACAGCGCUCCCUGGGCUUGGCGGUCUCCCCGCUCAGUGAGCAGAGGCUCCCCACAUUUGCAAAGUGGGCGGAACCAGCCCCCAGACCCGUUAGGUUCUCGGAAUCCAUUCUCUUCCCGAAUGCCCGAGGCUUUCUAAAGUCUGAAGGGCACAAGCUGCGUCCUCCCAAAGCCUGCGGGCUGUUCCCUGUGUCCCCACCCCGUGUCCCCACUGCACCCCGGGCUCCCAGUCUAGAAGCACCUACUCUGGGUCACUUUGUGCCGCUGGCCUGGCUCACGCCCCGGAGCCUUGGGACCCCACACCUUUGACUCACAGAGGCUUGUGUUUGGAGUGUGCUUGUACACAGACACCUGCACACGUGUACACACGCAUGUGACACAGACACACGCAGAAAUGCAGACACCCGCAUACAUGCGCACACACACAGACAUGCACGAACACACACAGAUACGCACAUGCACGUGCCGUGCAGAUGGACACGUAUGCGUUUGUGUACGCGUGAACACAGGUCAGCACACAGAUCCAGAUUCACAUGUGCUGACAUGCACACAUACAGAUGUGCAUGCACACAACACGCAGGUACAGGCAUGUGCACGGACAUGGAUACAGACACCUGUGAACAGAUAUGCUCCGUGUGCACUCACACCCGUGAACAGACGUGUGCGUGCCCACAGGACCGUGCAUGCCCUCCUGUGCCUGGGCCACCCUCCCUCCUGCUGGCUUCCCCCCGCCCCCCUCCCGGGAGGCUAUGUGUCCUCUGGGCCAGUCCGGCCUCCCGUCUGCAGCCGAGGAGGCCCACCUCCCAGGAGGCCCCUGGCCCUGCUGCCCUGUGGGCCCGACUGACCCUGGCCCCUCACCCAGGACACCCUCACGGAGAUCUCCGAGUGGCUGGAGCAGCACCCCCGGGAGGUGGUCAUCCUGGCCUGCAGGAACUUCGAGGGGAUGACGGAGGACCUGCAUGAGUACCUGGUGGCCUGCAUCAGGAACAUCUUUGGGGACAUGCUGUGCCCCCGAGGGGUGAGGAGGGUGCCUGUGCCCCAGGGCUCUCCUGGGCACUGUGUCCAGGGCUUGGUGUGUGUGUCUGGUCUGGCGGGGACAAGCCGGUCAUCAGGGCCUUCUGGCUUCCCUGUGAGGGGGGCCGGGCAGCCUGGCAGGGAGGGCCUCUGGGGCGAGCGUGCAGCAACGCGAUGGUCUGUGUCACCCACCGGGCACUUGGCUGGGUCUCGGUGCCCUCACCUGGCACCCAGCCGGGGCUCAGGACACGAGACGCAGCCCUGGAGGCCAGAGGCCAGCCCCGGUGCUGACUGGGGUCCCGAGAGGAUGCGGCCACCUUCCAGCUGCUGGGGGUGUCCCGCUGUGGCCCUGGCAUCCCAUGUGUCUGUGCCCAACACCCCCUUUGACAGCACGGGGCACCCGUCACGGGAUUAGGGCCUGGCCCCUCCAGAGUGACCCAUGCAGCUGAUGAGACCCGCAAAGCCCUUCCCAGUAGGUCCCGGGUGGGGGCUUGGAGCGUGGGCUGGGGACACAGGUCGCCCUCAGCACAGCCAGGGGUCAGCUGUAGUAGGUCCUGCAUCCGGGCCAGUCCCUGCAGGUGCCCUUGUGGGUCUCAGGGCCCUGGGUCACUGCAGGUGCCCUCCUGGGACACUAAGCCACGGCGUCACCUCAGAGGCACAGUGCCGGGCGGGCCACCCAGCCCCAGGCUCCCCUCACCCGGCACCCCACCCCAGUGACCCCAUCCCUUGCAGGAGCUGCCCACGCUGCGGCAGCUGUGGGCGCGGGGCCAGCAGGUCCUGCUCUCCUACGAGGACGAGGCCUCGGUGCGGCGGCACCCGGAGCUGUGGCCGGGAGUCCCCUACUGGUGGGGCAACAAGGUGAAGUCCGAGGCCCUGAUCCGCUACCUGGAGGACAUGAAGAGCUGCGGCCGCCCGGGUAGGAGGCCGGCCCUCCCGGGCCCACGGAGGGGACGGUCAAGGAGGCGGCCUGGCCGGCGUCCCCUCACGCUCGUGUCCCGCAGGGGGCCUGUUCGUGGCCGGCACCAACCUCACCGAGGACCUGGAGUACGUGCUGGCGCACCCGGCCGGGUCCCUGAAGGAGGUGACCCUGUCCAGCCUGCCCGCGCUCAGCGCCUGGGUCCGCGAGCAGAGCCCGGGGCCCGGCGCCCGCUGCACCAACAUCAUCGCCGGCGACUUCGUGGGCGCCGACAGCUUCGUCGGCGACGUCAUCGGGCUCAACCAGAAGCUGCUGUGGGGCUGACGGUCCCCUCCGGUCAGCCGGGGGCAGCCCGGGGGCAGCCCUAACCCCGGCUGGGCGGGCACUGCUCCAGAUCCCGCGAGAAGACGUCCUCCGAGCUCCAGAUCCCGCGAGAAGACCUCAAUCCAAGGGAUGUGCCUGUGGUCAGGGGUGACCACGGGGUGGGUCCAGCGGGUGUGUCCCGGGCAGUCCCGACCACGGGGUGGGUCCAACGGAAGUGCCCUGGUCAGCCAUGGAUGUGCUCAUGGGCAUGGCCAUCAUGAUGGGUCCAGCAGAUUUGUCUGUGGUCAACGAUGACAACUGGGAUGGGUCCAGCGGGUGUGCCCUGGUCAGCCGCGACCAAGGGAUGGCUCCAACGAAUGUGCUGUGGUCAACCAUGACUGUUGGGAUAGGCCAGUGGGCGCACCCUGGUCAGCCAUGACCAUGGGGAUGUGUCCAGCGGUGUGCCCUGGUCAGCCAUGACCAUGGGGAUGUGUCCAGCGGUGUGCCCUGGUCACCGAGGCCUACUCAACCCAGCGGGAAGCAUGGCCUGUGCAGGGUGGGGAUGCCAGGAGAGGGGUCAGGGCCUCCUCAUCCUGUGCUUUAGAAAGUCCCCGCUUCCAAGAGUGUCGCGUCCCCUGGACGGAUGGGGUGGGGACCUGUGCAGAGACCCUCUUGCAGUACUCAACACAUGGCCUGGCUGUCAGCUCACUCUGACGCCGCCCUUUCCCCGGGCAGCAGGCUCCUGGGGACCCUGGUCCAUCUUGCUUUGGCCAGCUGUUAGUGGAGGGCCUGAGGGGUGGCCAGUGGGCGGUCCUGCAUCUGCAGGCCCCACAGUGUCACGGGUGGUGUGGUCUGUGUUCUAGUCUCUGCAUCCUGGAGCUCGGGCGCCUGGACUUGCAGGCCGGGGUGGGGGGGGGGACUGUCCCCAGAGGUCAGAGGCUCCUGAGACCCCGCCCCUUGCAGGCUGGCUUCUCCAGGGCCAGCGUUUCCUAGACCCUCCUGGUGGGCACCUGCUGCUGGAGGCCCUGGGCACUGAAGGAGCCCAACCCGGGCUGUUUCCCAGCCUCCUGCCCACUGGGCAGGCCCGGGCAAGGCUGGGGGCUCCCUGGGCGCUGGCCCUGCAGGCGCCGGUGACUGGGUCAAUCUGGACCUCCCGCAGCUGCUGUGGCUGGGGUGCCACCUCCCGGUCCCAGGUCCCUUUAAACCCCGCAGGUGGCCGAGAGGCCUGGUCCUGCAGCCUGCCGCAGCCCUGCAGAGCCGGUGUUCCCUGGCCAUCUGGAUGCCCACGACGCGUCACGGCACCCGUUACGGGCAGUCCUGCCGUCAAAGAAGGGCGCAGACCCGGGUGUUCAGGACCGUCUGGAAAUGGCGCCCUGGUCUGCGAAGCCUGUUGCACUUGGGACCCGCAGGGUGGUUUCAGAGGAAGCUGCUCGGGCUUUGUGGUCACCUGUCAUGGCCGUGUCACGGCCGAGACGCGGCACAGCAGGACCAGCUCUGGGCACAUCCCAGCACUGCCUGGCCCCUCCCCGCCACCAAGCACCCUGGGGACAGCCCUUGGAUGCUCAGGUCACAAGGGCGUCAUUUCCUGUCUUAGGAGCCACCAUUCAGGGUUAGUCCACCCUUGAGGACAAUUAAAAGGAACCAAGCCAAACACGA
rnacentral:lncRNA from 1 species